ACAGUGGUAGUACAGAGGGUUGCCAAGCCGUAAGGUGGAGCUAAUCCCUUAAAGCUACUCUCAGUUCGGAUUGUAUGCUGAAACUCGCCUACAUGAAGCUGGUGUUACUAGUAAUCGCAGAUCAGAAUGCUGCGGUGAAUGCGUUCCCGGGUCUUGUACACACGGCCCGUCACACCACGGGAGUUGGAGACGCCCGAAGCCGAUAACCUACCCUUUCGGAAGAGGUAGCGGAGGUGGAAACCAAUACCGGGAGUGGUGUCGAAAUAAGCUGCUCGAACGGGACGGUGGGGUUGGAUCCCCUCCU
rnacentral:rRNA from 1 species